rnacentral:lncRNA from 1 species
AGUGGACACAAUAGGUAAUGUGAAUUAUGUGAGAUGGUCAAAUGUUAAUGUAUAUAAACAUAGUAAGAAUGGUGAUUCCAAAAUGAAGAUGCUUUGAAAGGCAACAACCAUGUCAGAACACAUUGCUUGCCCAAGAUAUAAUGGAUUGAAGCUAUUAAAUGAAUAAAGCAGGAAUACGAUCUAAUUCAAAGGAUAAUAGGAAAAAUGAUACACAAACAUGCUAGUCGUCUUAGUCUUCCUUCACUUUGUGGUUCUCCCAUUUGUUAUCUCCACUCCAUCUAAUAUUAAUGUGUGUGUUACCUAAAGGAAUAUAAAAGAAGGUAAGAAAAUAUCUAGCAUGCAAAGACGAAUUCCAGAUUGAUCCAUACAAAACCUGGUCUGUGCUAAAAAAAGAUGAAAAGAAACAACCUGCAUGUAAUAAAGUUCACCUUUGCGUUUCAAAAAAAGUAAAAUUCACCUUGUUGUGAUUAGAAAUACCCCAAGCUCCUUCCAUUACCGACCUUGGUAAGCUUCAGAUUGACGACUGUAUAACUUCAGUAUAGUUUACAUCCUAAAACACAACAUAAGAUAAUCCAUGUUUGAAAUUUUCUACAUGCAGUAAGUGGAUUAAGCUAAUCAUUGAAGAGCAAAUAUAUCUUACCUUCCAUCUGAUCCCAACCAAUUGAAGCUGAAUUUCCUGAGUAAUUGACACCUAAUUGGCUAACAAACUAAGAGUGAAAUUACAUAACAGCAAGGCAAAAAGUUUGAGGCUAACACAAUCAAGAAACAAUACAGUAUGCCAAAAAAAUGUAUUACUCCCUCCGUUCCGAAAUGUAGGUCGCUGGGGCUUGUGUUCCGACCAGGUGAAAAGUUGACAAUUGACCUGAAUACCAUCCCUUCAAAAUUUGAAUCCCGAUCGAUCGUCUUCCACCUCCGCCUCCGCCCUCCACCUCCACCUCCGCUUCCGCCCUCCACCUCCACCGACCCUCACCUCCUCCCUCCAGCUCCAUCUCCACCUCCACCCUCACCUCCGCCCUCCACCUCCAUCUCCACCUCCGCCCUCCAUCUCCACCUCCGCCCCCUGCCCAGGCGCUGCCGCCGCUGGAGUAGAGCUAGUGCUCUGCUGCCGCCCACACACAGGGGCUCCUCCUGACCCGCGCCCAGGUGGAGGCGAGCACAGGCUGUUCCGCCAUCUCCACCUCCGUACCCACCUCCGGCCACUGCAUCCAGGCGCAGGCGCUCCUCCUCUCCCACGUCCAGGAGCUGCUGCUGGGUUCGGCUGGUGCCCAGGUUCAUCUCCUCUCUCUGAUCAUUUGAUCUUCUGCUGGAGUACAUCUCUCUGUUGUCGCUGGAAACGAACUGCAAGCAUGAACAAUACUCAAGUGAUUCAAGAGAUGUACUAAUUCAAGAGUAGUCAAGAGUAAUUCAGAAGUGCCAACAUUUGAUUCAAGAAAUGUUUGCUGCCAAAAAUUCAACAAAUAAUUUGAACAAGUUAACUGAAUUAACUGUUGACUGUAGCAUUUCAGACAAUAGGAGUAGCAGACCAAACUGUAUUAACUGUUGACUGUGCAUCAUUGAUUUUGAAAAUUCUGGAAGAACCUCUGCCAUUAUGUUGAUUUACUUUAAAUAAAAAUCAUAGACUGAAAAUGUUGUCAUCUGGAUUACACAUGUUCUUUUUCUCAUUAGAGGAUCAUGAGAGAAAACUAUUGAAAAUAGUCUGGAGUAAAAAAAAUCUGAGAACACACACACAACAAAAACAGGUUCAUGACUGGAGUAGUACUGUAAUAAGACCUGACAAAACUUCUUUUGGCUGGGAGAGAUUUGAGUGUUUUUAUAUCAUUGCUAAGAGAUUUUAUUACUGUAAUAAGACUUGACAAAACAUCUUGAACUGAUAAUCUACAGCAAACUUGCUUGAAUGCAAUGCAAGUUGUACCUCGAUCUGUCCUGAAACAAUGACCACGUAGCAAAGAGAGGAAUGAACUGCAAACAUAAACAAUUUGAUGAGAAUUUGGUUCAACUAGCCAAUAAUUUGAUCUAACCAUUUGACAAAAUCCGAAUCUACUGAUGCAGGAAUACUGUCAAAUUACUGUUGGAGUACAAUUCAGAUUACAACAGCAGUACCUGAAAGCAGCAGAAGAUGGUUGUCCCAGACCUCAACUGCACUCCACCUGCAGAAGAUGCAGAAGAUGAAAUGGGUGAUGAUGAUGCAGGAGUACAAAUGGAUGAAGAUGUAGGAGUACAAAUGGAUGAAGAUGCGGGAGUACAACAUGCAGGUAUAGCUACAGUGGCAUUUCAGAAAUUUUCAGUUAGUGGUGGAAGAAAAAAAUCAGUUAAAUUACAGAAUACAGUUUGAUGAUAUGAUCAUAUCAUCAUUUGAUCAUUUGAUGAUAUGAUCAUAUCAUCAUUUGAAUGCUUAUGUUCAUUUGACCAUUUUUCCUUUGAUCAUUUGAUCAUUUUUCCUUUGCUGUAUUUCUUCGUGCAGGUGUUGAGCAAUCAGUUAAGAAAAGGGAUAGCCUCGAUGACAAGCAAAAGUAUGCUGCUUAUGUUGCAAUGCACACACUGUGCAUGAGUAGAGGGGGCAAAUUUGAAAGAGAUGACAAGAAAAAGAUUGCCAGUUUCUUUGGAGUGGGUGUAUGGAAUGUACAAAGAGUUUGGAAGAAAGCAAUGAAGCAAAUUGCUCAAGGUCUGGAGGUGGAUGUUUCAAGUCAGAGAAAAAAGAACCGUGGAAGAAAGCCAAAGGACAUUAAUCUAGAUCAAAUACCUACCAUUCCACUUAACAAGCGGUCUACUAUCAGGUCACUUGCUUGGCAACUCGGUUGCAGCCCUACGACACUCCACCGGAAGUUCAUGCUGAAGUUGAUAAAGAGGCAUACAAACUAUUUGAAGCCAGUUUUGAAGGAAAAGAACAAGAAGGAUAGAAUGGAAUUUUGCUUGUCAAUGCUCGAUGAGACAACAACACAAACUGAAAGGCCAAAAUUCAAGACCAUGCACAACAUUAUUCAUAUUGACGAGAAAUGGUUCUAUAUGACCAAGAAAAUCAGGAACUAUUAUCUGCUAUAUGGGGAGGAAGAGCCUACGAGAACUAUACAAAACGGCAGUUGGAAAAGUCGUGUUCUUGGCGGCUAUUGCUAGGCCAAGGUGGGAUAGUGAAGGAAAUGUGACAUUUUCUGGGAAAAUUGGAAUUUGGCCGUUUGUGAAAGAAGUUCCGGCUCAGAGGAGAAGCGACAACAGGCCCAGAGGAACAAUGGAGACGAAGUCCAUAAAAGUCAACAGGCAAGUAAUGAGAGAGUUCAUGAUAGAUAACCUACUACCAGCAAUACAAGCAUCUUGGCCUGAGAAUGAUGCUGGGCAAACCAUCUAUAUACAACAAGACAACGCCAAGCCCCAUAUCUUGCCCAACGACCCAGAAUUUGUAGCAGCCGCGGAAAGAACUGGACUCGACAUCAGACUAAUUCAACAACCUGCCAAUAGCCCUGAUCUGAAUGGCCUUGACCUUGGGUUCUUCAACUCGUUGCAAUCUCUGACAGAUUGUCUAAGCCCUAGAACGCUUCAGGAUCUUAUCAAGGGUGUGCUAGAUGAAUUUGAAAACUAUGAAGUUUACAAGCUGAACAGAGUUUUCCUAUCUCUACAAGCUUGCAUGAUUGAAAUCUUGAACCACGCAGGGGGCAAUGGGUAUAAAAUACCCCAUGCGAACAAGGAAAGGCUAGAGAACCUUGGGAUGCUACCUCCAAGACUUACAUGCCCUGAAGAGGUAUAUGCAAAUGCCAUGCACAAUCUUGGGAUAAUGGAGAGAGUUCAGUGAUGGAAGAAGAGGCUUGACAUACUUGUCGAGAUGCUUGUUGAUAUGCUUGAGGAGUUAGUUGUUGAGAUGCUUGAGGAGUUGCUUGUUGAGAUGCUUGUCGAGAUGCUUGUCGAGAUGCUUGAGGAGUUGCUUGUUGAGAUGCUUGUCGAGAUGCUUAUUCAUAUGCUUGUCGAGAUGCUUAUUCAUAUGCUUGAGGAGUUUCUUGUCGAGAUGCUUGUUCAGAUGCUUGAGGAGUUGCUUGUUGAGAUGCUUGUCGAGAUGCUUGUUGAUAUGCUUGAGGAGUUGCUUGUCGAGAUGCUUGUUCAGAUGCUUGAGGAGUUGCUUGUUGAGAUGCUUGUCGAGAUGCUUGAGGAGUUGCUUGUUGAGAUGCUUGUCGAGAUACUUGAGGAGUUGCUUGUUAAGAUGCUUGUGAUUAUUUGUGUGGAGUAUGUGUAACUCCUUGUUUGUGUGGAGUAUAUGUAAAUCCUAGAGAUGAGGCUUGUGCGGAGUAUAUGUAACUCCUUGAGAAGAGACUUGUGUGGAGUGCAUCAUUUGUAUGAUCAUUUUAAUUAACCAAGAACUACUCCUACAUACUCCAAGAACUACUCCUACUCCUACUCCAAGAACAACUCCUACUCCUAAUUUUAAUUAAAACUAAGCAGCAAGUCCACACGAUUUUAAUUUUAAUUUAAGGAAAAUCCACACGAUUUUACAGAAGCUUGUAUGGCAUGUCAUGAUUUUACAGAAACUACUCCUAUCAUGAUUUUGCUGUCAUUAAUAUGCAAGCAACAAUUAAGUUCACAAUAUUAUGCAAGUUAACAAGCUUCAGUAGCCCAAGUUUCAGUAGACAAGUUAACAAAAGCUACAGACGACAACUUUUAAAAGAAGCUAUAGAAGCUUCAUGAGAAUAAGUUAUUUUUAACAGAAGCUACAGAAAAUUUACACUCAACAUGCACAACAAAUUUACACAGAGAGAGGAGAGGACCAAUUUGCACAGUGAGUUUCAAGCAAUUAACAAAACAAGUUAACUUGUUUGGCCCCUUUUUUCUUUUCAGUUAACAAGACUGGUAAGCAAGUGAACAAAUUCAGAACAAGCCUGGAGUAUAUGUAGAGAUACAAGUGCUCCUACUGAACAAGACUGGAGUAUAUGCAGAGAUACAAGUACUCCUACUGGAAUAUCUAAACAUGUUUGACUGCUUAAGCAUGCAGAACAAGACUGGAGUACAUAAACAUGUUCGACUACAGAAGUUCCCUCGCCAAAGCAAUGAACAUUCAUGACUAGCAAGGGAACUGCAAGAUUAAGAAGCUACUCUGCACUCUACCUGCAGUAGAUAAACAAACUGUAAUACAAGUAUGCAAAAUAUGUAUUGAGAUUGCAAAGUUACUUAAAGUAGAAAAAUGUAUCCAACUGAGAUUGUGGUAAGCUCUUGAUUGGAGUGCAAAAUGUAUCCAGCUAAGUUACUUGUUGAGAUGGAGGAAGUUGUUCAAAUGAUUAAAUCGGGACCAACUAACUGAAUCAGGAGGAACUUUAUGUCUCGACAACUACGGCAUAAUAAACACACAAGAAUAACUGAAUCAGGAGUAGAAACCACGAGUGAGACUGCGAGAGUUCAUCGCCAACCAUUCAAAACAAGAAAAAGAAAAAUGUGGGAUCUGCAAGAAAAAUGUGAGUAUGUUCGAUGCCUGCAAUUUUCGUUCUCUGAAAAUAUGAACCUGCUUCAGUGGCUCAGCCGCAACAUGGCGUAGAUACAAAGGAGAGCAUUACCAUCCUACUCCAUUCAGCAAUUCACACACAUACUCCAGAAUCCAUCAGCAAGUUGCUCUAGGCCUGGGGUGAUCCAUCAGCUUCAUCUUUGCUUGCACAGCAACAAUCACACGAUUUCAGUAACUUUGUGAAGGCUUCAGAGCCGUAGUGGAGUCCGGCACACUGCAUUUUCAAGCUACUGCAUCAAGUUUUCAUUAACCAAAUCGAUGCACUGCUACUCUAACAUCAACUACUCCUGCAAAUGGAUAAGAGAGGAGGCAUGGAGAAGAAACACCGUACCAGAUCCGUGAGGACGACCAAGCCGCUCCAGAUCCGCCAGUUGCUCCCGCGCCUCUCCAAAUACGCCGCUCGGCCUCCGCUAUGCAUCCAGUGCCGACGAGCGCAGAUCCAGCGCCUCCCUCGCCUAGAUCGAGCGCCGGCGCACGCAAAUCCAUCGCCUCUGUCGCCCAGAAGCUCGUCGCCGGCGCAAAAAAAUCAUUCUUUGACCUUGGAUGUGGGGCGUGAAUGGACGCCGGCUGUGAGUGGACGCCAGACGUGAAUGGAUGCCGGCUGUGGACGCGGAGAAAGGUGGCGGCGACGGGGAGAUAUGCUAGAGAGGCCGGCGACGGGGAGUCAGGGAGAUGCCGGCAGGAGUCGGGGAGAGCGAUGGGGAGAAGAGGGGAGCGAUGGGGAGAAGAGAGGCGAGCGAGUGAGCGAGUGGGCUGUGAGCGGAGUGAGGGGUAAUUUCGGAAAGUGCGAGAAUUCCGUAACGUGUCGAAAU